rnacentral:rRNA from 1 species
GGGUUGUGAGGUUAAGCGACUAAGCGUACACGGUGGAUGCCCUGGCAGUCAGAGGCGAUGAAGGACGUGCUAAUCUGCGAUAAGCGUCGGUAAGGUGAUAUGAACCGUUAUAACCGGCGAUUUCCGAAUGGGGAAACCCAGUGUGUUUCGACACACUAUCAUUAACUGAAUCCAUAGGUUAAUGAGGCGAACCGGGGGAACUGAAACAUCUAAGUACCCCGAGGAAAAGAAAUCAACCGAGAUUCCCCCAGUAGCGGCGAGCGAACGGGGAGCAGCCCAGAGCCUGAAUCAGUGUGUGUGUUAGUGGAAGCGUCUGGAAAGGCGCGCGAUACAGGGUGACAGCCCCGUACACAAAAAUGCACAUAUUGUGAGCUCGAUGAGUAGGGCGGGACACGUGGUAUCCUGUCUGAAUAUGGGGGGACCAUCCUCCAAGGCUAAAUACUCCUGACUGACCGAUAGUGAACCAGUACCGUGAGGGAAAGGCGAAAAGAACCCCGGCGAGGGGAGUGAAAAAGAACCUGAAACCGUGUACGUACAAGCAGUGGGAGCACGCUUAGGCGUGUGACUGCGUACCUUUUGUAUAAUGGGUCAGCGACUUAUAUUCUGUAGCA